rnacentral:lncRNA from 1 species
ACUGAAAUUGGUCUAAAUGAUGUGUUUUUCAAUGAUCUUGAUUGCAAAUAAAUGGUUCUAAACAUAUGAUAUUAUUUUGAUAUUAAAAAGAUUUAUGGUGCUUCAUAUAAACUAUGACUAAGAAAUUAAUAUUUUGAAUAUACACUCCUACAUAAUUAAAUGCUUCUAUCAUUAAAAAGAAAAGCUGUUUUUAAGAAGAGAGUUAAUGAUCCUAAAGCUUAAAAUAUUUCAACUCACUUCAAUAAUUCUUAUAGGAAAGAAAAUAUAAUUACUUUUGAAAGAAAUUUGAGCUUCAAAAGAAUUAUUUUCUGAUUAAUAUUUUCAUACAUAUUCAAAAAAAAUAAGAGGAAAUAUAAUUUAUUCUUGAAAGAUUAAAAAGAGUGAUUGC